GCUAUCUCUCUCAAAUCUCUCGGGAUAUUUCACUUUUUGGGGAGAAAUAAGAGACUGUUAGAAGGAGCAAAUUAAUGCCAAUGCAUAAACUACAGAUCCCAUAAUGCACUGUGAGGUCUUUACCCACUAUAAGGCUAUUACUGGAAGUGAGGGAGCCUGACUGCUGUUGCGUGUGCUAUUUAGCUGACAAAAAUGUUGGGCAACCAGGCUGUAGACUUUUAUCACUGGCAUGUGGAAAGGGCCUUCAUCUCCCAUGAUGCACUAUAAGGGUUGACCAUAAGAGAUGAAGGAGUAUGACAGAAGGCGACCACUCCAGCACCAACGGGAGGAAAG